AGAGUUUGAUCAUGGCUCAGAACGUACGCUGGCGGCACGCCUAACACAUGCAAGUCGAACGAAGUAGCAAUACUUAGUGGCAGACGGGUGAGUAACAUGUGGGUAUCUUCCCUUUGGCCUGGAAUAACACGAGGAAACUUGUGCUAAUACCGGAUAAGUCUUUACAGAGAAAGCUUUAUGCACCAUUGGAUGAGCCCGCACUUGAUUAGUUUGUUGGUGGGGUAAUGGCCUACCAAGACUGUGAUCAAUAGCUGAUUUGAGAGGAUGAUCAGCCACAUUGGGACUGAGACACGGCCCAAACUCCUACGGGAGGCAGCAGUGGGGAAUCUUGCACAAUGGAGGAAACUCUGAUGCAGCGAUGCCGCGUGAGUGAAGAAGGCCUUUGGGUUGUAAAGCUCUUUCGUCGGGGAAGAAAAUGACUGUACCCGAAUAAGAAGGUCCGGCUAACUUCGUGCCAGCAGCCGCGGUAAUACGAAGGGACCUAGCGUAGUUCGGAAUUACUGGGCUUAAAGAGUUCGUAGGUGGUUGAAAAAGUUGGUGGUGAAAUCCCAGAGCUUAACUCUGGAACUGCCAUCAAAACUUUUCAGCUAGAGUUUGAUAGAGGAAAGCAGAAUUUCUAGUGUAGAGGUGAAAUUCGUAGAUAUUAGAAAGAAUACCGAUUGCGAAGGCAGCUUUCUGGAUCAUUACUGACACUGAGGAACGAAAGCAUGGGUAGCGAAGAGGAUUAGAUACCCUCGUAGUCCAUGCCGUAAACGAUGUGUGUUAGACGUUGGAAAUUUAUUUUCAGUGUCGCAGCAAAAGCGAUAAACACACCGCCUGGGGAGUACGACCGCAAGGUUAAAACUCAAAUGAAUUGACGGGGACCCGCACAAGUAGUGGAGCAUGUGGUUUAAUUCGAAGAUACGCGCAGAACCUUACCAACACUUGACAUGUUCGUCGCGACUUUAAGAGAUUAAAGUUUUCGGUUCGGCCGGACGAAACACAGGUGCUGCAUGGCUGUCGUCAGCUCGUGUCGUGAGAUGUUGGGUUAAGUCCCGCAACGAGCGCAACCCUCACUUUUAGUUGCCAUCAUUAAGUUGGGCACUCUGAAAGAACUGCCAGUGAUAAGCUGGAGGAAGGUGGGGAUGACGUCAAGUCCUCAUGGCCCUUACGUGUUGGGCUACACACGUGCUACAAUGGUAUCUACAACAGGAAGCAAGACGGCGACGUUUAGCAAAUCCUUAAAAGAUACCUCAGUUCGGAUUGCACUCUGCAACUCGAGUGCAUGAAGCUGGAAUUACUCGUAAUCGUGGAUCAGCGUGCCACGGUGAAUGCGUUCCCGGGUCUUGUACACACCGCCCGUCACACCAUGGGAGUUGGUUCUACCUUAAGGCAAGGUUUAAUACCCUUGACCACGGUAUAGUCAGCGACUGCGGGUGACACGUC
rnacentral:rRNA from 1 species